rnacentral:antisense_RNA from 1 species
GGGUGCUCUUGGCUGUUUGUCAUGAGCAAUCAUUUAAACAUUUUUGUUUGUGGCAGAUAGACAAAAGCCCCGAAAGUUAAUUAAAACUUACGAGGCAAUGUAUGUAUCUAGACACUACAAAUAUUAGCCUCUUUAUCACUAGGAGGCAACAAAAAAUGCCAAAG